AACGAACGCUGGCGGCGCGUCUUAAGCAUGCAAGUCGAACGGCAGGCGGGUAGCAAUACCUGCUGAGAGUGGCGAACGGGUGAGUAACGCGUAGGUGAUCUGCCCUCAGGUCGGGGAUAG
rnacentral:rRNA from 1 species